UUGUAGUAUUCACCAACUGGAUGAUUACAUAACAAGUUUCUAAUAUCUAUGUGAAAUAGGGCUAAAUAAGCGACAUACUGCUUAAAUGUCAGUUUAUCUCACUUGCAAACGUUAAAGCCUGAAACGGAUCAAUGUCUCGGUUGACGGCAACCUAUCCGCCUUGUAAUGACUUUUUAAAACACCGAUGAAUACUAAGACAUUUUCUGCAUUAGCCUUUUGAAAUCUCUAUUUUGUGUCGAACUAUAAAAUUAACAAAAAGGAAAACUGGAAAUAUGACUCAAUGCCAAAUCAUUUUUCUUUUCGAUUCUUGUUUUUGCAAAGGCGAUCAAAUGACGCGGGACGUUUAUUCCGUUCGCGUGCUUUUGCUAAAAAUAACCAUUAAAUUGUCUCCGUCGGACUGUGGGAUGUGGCGCUGAGAGAUGAAGCAGGCUAAUUGGUCUGCCGGUUCCAUUAUCCAUUCCGGGUCUUGGUGGCAUCUUGCUCUUUUCUGUGUAGUUUUCUCCUAUCUGUCUACGCCGCAGCAGCACUAGGCGCUGGGUACCGAAAGCAGAGAUUCCUGAUCCGCCUGAGACAUCUCCAUCGCUGGAUCCCUUUCCCCUAAAUUCGCUUCAUAUCCGGAUACUGGUUUAGGAUUAACCGAAUCUGAGCAAACGUGCGGUCCGUUUCGUCAAAAAAAGACGAGCAAAGGACAUGAUCGACCAGGGGACCGGCAUCCGGAGGGUUCCGAAGGCCCAGCACCGACAUGUGUAAAAUGGGUCACUGAGAGCCUGGUGUGAGCGCCCGUUACGGACCCCCCCCCCCCCCC